CUUUCAAUGCACCGCAAUCGUUAGCACCAUCUCCCACCAUAGCUGCGGAAAAAAAAUUUCAUGUCGAAUUAAGAUUCGUUUUAAAGUCAGCUUCGAAAAAUUUAUAUUGUUCAUUACAAUAUAAAUUUUUUUUAUGUUUACACUUACCAACGUAAUAUCCUAAGGACUGCAGUUCUUGAACCAACUGCUGCUUCUGAUCUGGCGACAUUCUUGCAAAAAUGGCACCGCGAGUCACCACUUUAGGCUUAAAAACACAGAUACUUACUCUUCCUGUAAAAAAUGGGUAUCCUUCUCCAACUUUGGACUACCGAAGGAACCGCUCUCGACAGAAUUCAGACUAAC